AUACUCUCUACCGCAGCCACUGUAUGAUGUCAUAGCAAUGACGUCACACUCAAGCCAAUCAGCCUUGAGGAGGAUAGACUCGUCGGACUGUAGCGGUUGUAAACAACUUGUCGCCCCGUGUGUCUGCCCGUGGCGCUAGUUAUCUGUCGAAGUUACCACUGACAAUGCCCAAAACAAGAACAACAAAGGCCCAAAGGUGGCUGUUUGGUAGUGCGCAAAGCUGCUGGUGGUGGUGGACGUCUCUGCCCUGACGCGCGGCGUGCGUCUGCUCAGUGUGGAGGUGCCGCUGACAGCGGUGCCGGCCGGACCGGCUGCCUCUCCGGCGGCCGACAUUGAGCGCGGCACGUGUCCGCCGCCGUUCGGGCCGCUGCAGCUGCUGCAGUCGGCGGCGCAGCUGUCCGUCUCCGUGUCGCUGGCCGUGCCGCUGGACCUGCUGCCGCGGCCGGCGCCGGCGCGCUGCGCCUACGGCCGCCUGCUGGCCGUCGUCUCGCAGCGCGGCCUGCAGCGCAGCGGCGUGCUGCAGCUCAUCCAGCAGCUCAACGAGCCGCCCAGCCCGGCGGCGGCCGAGGGCGCCGCGCCGCGCCGGCCCGGCGACGUCAGCACACCUGGCAUCAGCGGCUUCUGCCUGGCCGACCGUCAGCUGCACCUGCUGUUCGCCGAGGGGCGCGCCGACGCCGAGCUGGAACAGACGGCGGCCGCGCCGCGCGCUCUGCCGCGCCGCGACGCUCGACUCUGCCACCACUCGGGCGUACUGUUUAGGGAGCGCCUGUACCCGCGCCAGCCGGCCGCGUUCCGCGUGCUCGAGGACCGCCCGCUACGCGCCCAGCUGCUCGACACCCGCCUCUACACGUUACAGAAACAGGAGCCGGCGCGCGCCGUCCGCGCCAUCAGAGAGUGCUUCCGCACGCAGUGGCUGUCGGAAAAUGAACCUGCUUCCCAACGAGGCCGGCCUGCAACAACUGCUGGCCGGCUGUUGGCCGAAAAAAAACGCCUUCAACCGGAUGUCAGUUGUCAAAUCAACGCGUAUUAAUGCAUUCACUAGGAUGGGCUUACGUAAAGCUGUAGAAUUGCAAAUAUAUAAUGGCACUGUUUUUGA
rnacentral:lncRNA from 1 species